GACACAAUUGGAAACAGUGACUAUAUUACCAAGGCUUUGAUGGGAACGUCCUACUUGAGUACAUGCAAAGAAUCACAUAUGACCAGACAGCUUUAAGGAACUAAGACUGACUUAAUGGAACCAAUAAAGCACCUUGGAAAAACAGCCUGAUACCUUACUUACACGGUUCCCAGCAGCCUUACCAGCCAUGGAAACUAAAGUUGGACAAUUUGAUACAAAAUCCGCAACAGCUCGUGCAUGGACAAUCUUCACGCCUGUUGCUGCAGGGUCACUCAGAAAAAGCACCAGAGACAUUCAAACUACAAACCAAGAAAACCUGUCAGAUUGCCAUGGCCUGCCUCCACUCCAUCUGAAGAUUCUCUGAGCCCAACAUCUAGAAAUCUUCCAACUGGCUGCCUUCAGACCUCAGAAACUGGGACUGUCAUCUGCUCCAGUCAUUAACCAUUGUUUUCCCUUUGUUUCCAUAGAAAUGCCUUAUUAAAUACCUAAUUUCUCAUGCAAUAUAGGCCUAACUUGGGGAGACCGGCUGCAUCGCCACCUCCUAAAAAUGAGACGCAACUGUUCAACUGAAGUGACCUAUUUUUAAGACUAUGAGAUUAAUUCAAUGAAAUAAUGAAACAGUCAGCCAGCUCUGCUUUUCAUGUGUGGAACUUCCAGGGAAUUUUCGGAGCAGGGGGCUGAUGGGGUUCAGGACAGGUUGCCCCAGGGUGUGUGCGCCACUUUGGCAUGUAGAUUAUUUCACGCUGAAGACAAUCAAUGCCCAAUGGGCCCAACAAGAGCUUUUCAUCUCUCCCUUAACUGCCUAAAAGAAUUCAGAUCAGGGGCCUGGUCCAGGAAGAGAACUAACCCCCCAGAGACAACUACAAAGAGUAUGGUCUAGGUGUGGUAAACUGUGGGGGAGCUCACCAGAGUCUGUUUGUUCAAACUCCUCUCUGUACCCCAUUGUCUUUGCAUGGCCUGGCAACCAUUUGCCUACCAAACACUUGCUCCUCCCAUUUUCCUGUGACUUGUCUUCCCUCCCUUUUGAAGCCCCAGAUGCCCGCCCGCUUCUCCUUAGGUCCGGAUGGCACAUAGACCUCAACUGCCUGACUGUCUUUGAGCCUCUCAUGUCUGCAUGAGGCUCCUGUACACAAAAAAUCAAAUUUGUUUUUCUCCUGUUGCUCUGUCUUAUGUUGAUUUAAUUAUUGGACUAGCCAAAAGAACCUCGAACGGUAGAGGACAUUUUUUUGCCCCCCUCUACUCUUAUGAAGUGAGACUGACAUUUAUCAUAUGACCCAGCAAUUACAGUCCUGGGUAUUUACCCAAGAGAAAGGAAAGCACACAUCUAUACGAAGACCCGGACACAAAUGGUCACAGAAGCUUUAUUUAUUGUAACUAAAUAUGGGAAGCAACCCAAAUGUUCAUCAAUAGGCAAAUGAAUCAGCACAUUGUGGCACAGCCAGACCAUGGAAUACUGCUUGACAAUAAAAAGGAAUGAAUUUCUGAAGCACACAAAAAUGUGGCCAAAUCUCAGAAUAUUCUGCUGAGCAAAAAAAGCCAGACACACACACAAAAAAUAGAACAUUCCGUAUGAUUCCAUUUAUAUAAAAGUCUAGGAAAUGCAGACUAAUCUACACUGACAGAAAACAGGUCAAUGGGUGUCUGGGGAUGGGGGUGGGGUGGGGUAGGAAGGAAGAAUUACAAGGGGGUACAGGAAACUUUUGGGGUGCCGAUGUGUUCACUAUCUUGCUUGUGGUGAUGGCUUCGUAGAGGUACACACAUGUCAAAACUCACCAAAUUGUGCACUUUCAAGUACGUACAGUUUAUUGUAUGUUAAUUAUGUCUCAAUAGAGCUGUAGGUUAAAAAAAACCCCAAAACUCAAACUGUAGACUUGAAAAGUUGAACCAUGUACUUUAUUAAGAGGAUGAGUUGAAUUGUGCAGAAUUGUAUGAUUAUUAGGUAAAUUAUUCCUCAAUAAAUCUGACU